UACGUAGGCAGCGAGCGUUGUUCGGAAUUUCUGGGCGUAAAGAGUGUGUAGGCGGUGCUCUAAGUUCGGUGUGAAAUCUCCUGGCUUAACUGGGAGGGUGCGCCGGAAACUGGAGUGCUCGAACGUGGGAGAGGAAAGUGGAAUUCCUGGUGUAGCGGUGAAAUGCGUAGAUAUCAGGAGGAACACCGGUGGUGUAGACGGCUUUCUGGACCGUAACUGACGCUGAGACACGAAAGCGUGGGUAGCAAACAGG
rnacentral:rRNA from 1 species